GGAAUAUUGGGCAAUGGGCGCAAGCCUGACCCAGCAACGCCGCGUGAAGGAAGAAGGCUUUCGGGUUGUAAACUUCUUUUGUCAGGGACGAAGCAAGUGACGGUACCUGACGAAUAAGCCACGGCUAACUACGUGCCAGCAGCCGCGGUAAUACGUAGGUGGCAAGCGUUAUCCGGAAUCAUUGGGCGUAAAGAGGGAGCAGGCGGCCUGGAGGGUCUAUUGUUAAAAGGCAGUGGCUUAACCAUUGCAAGGCGAAGAAACCGGCAGGCUAGAGUUCUAAAGAGGAUCGUGGAAUUCCAUGUGUAGCGGUGAAAUGCGUAGAUAUAUGGAGGAACACCAGUGGCGAAGGCGACGAUCUGGGAAGAAACAGACGCUGAGUCCCGAAAGCGUGGGGAGCAAAUAGG
rnacentral:rRNA from 1 species